GCUUGGGUGGCUCAGUCGGUUGAGCAUCUGACUUUGGCUCAGGUCAUGAUCUCACGGUUUGUGAGUUCAAGCCCCACAUCAGGCU
rnacentral:tRNA from 1 species